UACAGAGGGUGGCAAACGUUUGCUCGGAAUUUUAUUGGGCGUAAAGCGCGUGUAGGCGGCUUUGUUUAAGUCGGUUUGUGAAAAACCCAUGGGCUCAACCCAUGGAAGCGCGUCCGAAAACUGGCAGCUGGAGUCCCGACGAGGGUGGCGGAAUUCCCAGUGUAGAGGUGAAAUUCGUAGAUAUUGGGAGGAACACCGGUGGCGAAGGCGGCCACCUGGGAGGGUACUGACGCUGAGAGCGAAAAGCGUGGGGGAGCAAAACAGGG
rnacentral:rRNA from 1 species